UAAUUAAAGGUGUGAACAAGGGACAGUGUUUCAACCAAACAAGUACUCUCUGCUGUAAUUAGUGCCUCAGGUACCCUGAGGAAGAAUGAUAAGAUCUUGUAGAAUGUGACUUCACUGCCUCGGUAUCCUGGAAUGUGGAAAGAAGGCAUGCAGAAGCCAGAAAUCCCUUUAGGCCAGGGCCUCGGGAACUAGAUGAAAGAACUCUCCAUUCAAUUGAAAGAUGGGAAAAUAAUGUUUGCAGUUCAAAUCUACCAGCUCUGAAACAACACCAACCAGGAGAUGUGGCCAACCCCCCAUACUAAAACACAGGUAUUAGCGUUUCUGGGUACCGCAGGCUAUUACCGGAAGUUUGUGCCCAAUUAUAGCACC